rnacentral:rRNA from 1 species
GACGAACGCUGGCGGCGUGCUUAACACAUGCAAGUCGAGCGGGGACAUUGAACUUCGGUUUGAUGUUCUAGCGGCGGACGGGUGAGUAACGCGUGAGGAAUCUGUUUUUUGCAGGGGGAUAACAGGGAGAAAUUUCUGCUAAUACCGCAUAGGACCACGACCACAGAAGUGGAUGGGGUGAAAGGAGCAAUCCGGCAAGAAGGGAUCUCGCGUCCCAUUAGCUAGUUGGUGGGGUAAAGGCCUACCAAGGCGAUUAUGGGUAGCCGACCUGAGAGGGUGAUCGGCCACACUGGAACUGAGAUACGGUCCAGACUCCUACGGGAGGCAGCAGUGGGGAAUAUUGGGCAAUGGGGGGAACCCUGACCCAGCAACGCCGCGUGAGGGAAGAAGGUUUUCGGAUUGUAAACCUCUGUCCUGUGGGAAGAAGAAAGUGACGGUACCACGGGAGGAAGCCCCGGCUAACUACGUGCCAGCAGCCGCGGUAACACGUAGGGGGCGAGCGUUGUCCGGAAUAACUGGGCGUAAAGGGCGCGUAGGCGGCCGAAUAAGUCUGAUGUGAAAGCCCUAUGCUUAACGUAGGGAGUGCAUUGGAAACUGUUUAGCUGGAGUACAGGAGAGGAAAGUGGAAUUCCCAGUGUAGCGGUGAAAUGCGUAGAGAUUGGGAGGAACACCAGUGGCGAAGGCGGCUUUCUGGACUGUAACUGACGCUGAUGCGCGAAAGCGUGGGGAGCAAACAGGAUUAGAUACCCUGGUAGUCCACGCUGUAAACGAUGGAUGCUAGGUGUGGGAGGUAUCGACCCCUUCCGUGCCGGAGUUAACACAAUAAGCAUCCCGCCUGGGGAGUACGGCCGCAAGGCUG